CCUACGGGUGUCAGCAGUGGGGAAUAUUGGACAAUGGGCGCAAGCCUGACCCAGCAACGCCGCGUGAAGGAAGAAGGCUUUCGGGUUGUAAACUUCUUUUAAGAGGGAAGAGCAGAAGACGGUGCCUCUUGAAUCAGCCACGGCUAACUACGUGCCAGCAGCCGCGGUAAUACGUAGGUGGCAAGCGUUGUCCGGAUUUACUGGGUGUAAAGGGCGUGUAGCCGGUCUGACAAGUCAGAUGUGAAAUUCCGGGGCUCAACCCCGGACCUGCAUUUGAAACUGGUGGUCUUGAGUAUCGGAGAGGAAGGUGGAAGUCCUAGUGUAGCGGUAAAAUCCGUAGAGAUAAAGAGGAAUACUCAUUGCGAAGGCGACCUGCUAGAACAUAACUGACGCUGAGGCGCGAAAGCGUGGGUAGCAAACAGGAUUAGAUACCCCUGUAGUC
rnacentral:rRNA from 1 species